GGGGCUAUAGCUCAGCUGGGAGAGCGUCUGGCUGGCAGCCAGAAGGUCGUCGGUUCGAGCCCGACUAGCUCCA
rnacentral:tRNA from 2 species